rnacentral:rRNA from 1 species
GACGAACGCUGACGGUGUGCUUAACACAUGCAAGUCGAACGGUAAGGCCCUUUCGGGGGUACACGAGUGGCGAACGGGUGAGUAACACGUGAGUAACCUGCCCUCAUCUCUGGGAUAACAGUCGGAAACGGUUGCUAAUACUGGAUAUGAGCUUGCAAGGCAUCUUGUGGGUUGGAAAGAUUUUUUUGGUUGGGGAUGGACUCGCGGCCUAUCAGCUUGUUGGUGAGGUAGUGGCUCACCAAGGCUUCGACGGGUAGCCGGCCUGAGAGGGCGCCCGGCCACAUUGGGACUGAGAUACGGCCCAAACGCCUACGGGAGGCAGCAGUGGGGAAUAUUGCACAAUGGACGGAAGUCUGAUGCAGCAACGCCGCGUGCGGGAUGACGGCCUUCGGGUUGUAAACCGCUUCCAAUUGUGACGAAGCUUUUUGUGACGGUAGCAGUAGAAGAAGCACCGGCUAACUACGUG